rnacentral:rRNA from 1 species
UACGUAGGGGGCAAGCGUUGUCCGGAAUCAUUGGGCGUAAAGCGCGCGUAGGCGGCCCGAUAAGUCCGCUGUAAAAGUCCAGGGCUCAACCCUGGAAAGCCGGUGGAUACUGUCGGGCUAGAGUCCGGAAGAGGCGAGUGGAAUUCCUGGUGUAGCGGUGGAAUGCGCAGAUAUCAGGAGGAACACCGAUGGCGAAGGCAGGUCUCUGGGCAUUAACUGACGCUGAGGAGCGAAAGCAUGGGGAGCGAACAGG